GAUGAACGCUAGCGGCAGGCCUAACACAUGCAAGUCGAGGGGUAACAUUGGUGCUUGCACCAGAUGACGACCGGCGCACGGGUGCGUAACGCGUAUACAAUCUACCUUAUACUGGAGGAUAGCCUUUAGAAAUGAAGAUUAAUACUCCAUAGUUUACAGACAUGGCAUCAUGAUUGUAAUAAAGAUAACGGUAUAAGAUGAGUAUGCGUUCUAUUAGCUAGUUGGUAUGGUAACGGCAUACCAAGGCAACGAUAGAUAGGGGCCCUGAGAGGGGGAUCCCCCACACUGGUACUGAGACACGGACCAGACUCCUACGGGAGGCAGCAGUGAGGAAUAUUGGACAAUGGAGGCAACUCUGAUCCAGCCAUGCCGCGUGCAGGAAGACUGCCCUAUGGGUUGUAAACUGCUUUUAUACAGGAAGAAACCCCUCUACGUGUAGAGGCUUGACGGUACUGUAAGAAUAAGGAUCGGCUAACUCCGUGCCAGCAGCCGCGGUAAUACGGAGGAUCCAAGCGUUAUCCGGAAUCAUUGGGUUUAAAGGGUCCGUAGGUGGAUGAUUAAGUCAGAGGUGAAAUCCUGCAGCUCAACUGUAGAAUUGCCUUUGAUACUGGUUGUCUUGAGUUAUUAUGAAGUAGUUAGAAUAUGUAGUGUAGCGGUGAAAUGCAUAGAUAUUACAUAGAAUACCAAUUGCGAAGGCAGAUUACUAAUAAUAUACUGACACUGAUGGACGAAAGCGUGGGGAGCGAACAGGAUUAGAUACCCUGGUAGUCCACGCCGUAAACGAUGGAUACUAGCUGUUCGGACUUCGGUCUGAGUGGCUAAGCGAAAGUGAUAAGUAUC
rnacentral:rRNA from 1 species